rnacentral:rRNA from 1 species
GUGUCAGCCGCCGCGGUAAAACGUAGGUGGCAAGCGUUAUCCGGAUUUACUGGGCGUAAAGCGUGUGCAGGCGGGUUGUCAAGUGGUGUAUGAAAUCGCCCGGCUUAACCGGGCGGGGUUAGGCCAGACUGACAGCCUGGAGUGCGAGAGAGGGGCGUGGAAUUCCGGGUGUAGUGGUGAAAUGCGUAGAGAUCCGGAGGAACCCCAGCGGCGAAGGCGGCGCCCUGGCUCGCAACUGACGCUCAGACACGACAGCAUGGGGAGCGAACGGGAUUAGAAACCCGAGUAGUCC